rnacentral:rRNA from 1 species
GAUGAACGCUGGCGGCGUGCCUAAUACAUGCAAGUCGAGCGAACAGACGAGGAGCUUGCUCCUCUGACGUUAGCGGCGGACGGGUGAGUAACACGUGGAUCACCUACCUAUCAUACUGGGAUAACUUCGGGAAACCGGAGCUAAUACCGGAUAAUCUCUUGAACCGCAUGGUUCAAUAGUGAAAGACGGUUUUGCUGUCACUUAUAGAUGGAUCCGCGCCGCAUUAGCUGGUUGGUAAGGUAACGGCCUACCACGGCAACGAUGCGUAGCCGACCUGAGGGGGGGAUAGGCCACACGGGAGCUGGAACACGGUCCAGACUCCUACGGGAGGCAGCAGUAGGGAAUCUUCGGCAAUAGGCGAAAGCUUGGCGGAGCAACGCCGCGUGAGUGAUGGAGGUCUUCGGAUCGUAAAACUGUCUUAUUAGGGAAGAACAAAUGUGUAAGUAACUAUGCACGUCUUGACGGUACCUAAUAAGAAAGCCACGGCUAACUACGUG